rnacentral:rRNA from 1 species
CAGCAGUAGCCGCGGGAAUACGGAGGGAGCUAGCGUUGUUCGGAAUUACUGGGCGUAAAGCGCGCGUAGGCGGUUACUCAAGUCAGAGGUGAAAGCCCGGGGCUCAACCCCGGAACUGCCUUUGAAACUAGGUGACUAGAAUCUUGGAGAGGUCAGUGGAAUUCCGAGUGUAGAGGUGAAAUUCGUAGAUAUUCGGAAGAACACCAGUGGCGAAGGCGACUGACUGGACAAGUAUUGACGCUGAGGUGCGAAAGCGUGGGGAGCAAACAGGAUUAGAUACCCCAGUAGUCCCUGUCUCUUAUAC